rnacentral:tRNA from 1 species
GCAUCCAUGGCUGAAUGGUGAAAGCGCCCAACUCCUAAUUGGAAAAUGCUGGAUGCA